GGGGAAAGCCUUCCUUUCCUGGGGAUGGGACGCCCGUUUCCACUGAAAGUGAAAUCACUGUGAACAACCUGAAAAUUGGAAAGUUGGACCAGCUGUGGGGAGAGAAAGGUCUUCGUGUCCUUUCCCACGUUCACCGUGCCAGUUACACACAAAGCAGAGAUUUUUUUGCUUGAAUCAUUAAAAGCCGGGUGGGUGGGGGGCACC
rnacentral:lncRNA from 1 species